UGUUAUAACACUGAGCUCUCUUUUAGUAGGUGUGUUAUUACACUGAAUUCCCUUUCAAUGUGUGGUGUGUUAUUGCACUGAGCUCCCUUUUAGUAGGUGUGUUUUUACACUUAGUUCCCUUUUAAUGUGUUGUGUUGUAACACUGAGCUCUCUUUUAGUAUGUGUGUAAUAACACCAAGUUCCCUUUUAGUAGGUGUGUUUUUACACUGAAUUCCCUUUUAAUGUGUUGUGUUGUAACACUGAGCUCCCUUUUAGUAGGUGUGUUUUUACACUUAGUUACCUUUUAAUGUGUUGUGUUGUAACACUGAGCUCUCUUUUAGUAUGUGUGUUAUAACACCAAGUUCCCUUUUAGUAGGUGUGUUUGUAUACUGAGGUCCCUAUUAGUACAUGUGUUAUAUGUGGAGGGGAGGAGAGCAAUGAAUUCAACACUUGUUAAGGCUGACCUGGUCAAGUGCAACUUGCAGGAGAGGACGAUGGGGAAAAUAGUUUCAAUGCAAUUCAAGGAGGCAUCGGACAAAAACAGAACAUUAACGGACACAGAGUCAUGAAGAAAAUGAAACACCAACACACACCAGUUGUCACAGCAGUCCUUGCUUAGUUACCUCCCCUGAUGUGGGAUAAA